AGCCUCUGGGGAGGGAAGCUGCCCUGGCGCUCGGGGCCCCGCGGGCUAGCUCGGGGACUGCCCCUUCGGGAGCCCGUCUGAAGGCGAAGGGUGUAAAUGGAGUCCCAGUACCUGAAGAGAUGCCUGGGAAGUUGCUUGAUAAAGGGACUGGCAGAGGUUGUAGAGCAUCGGCCAGCAGACCCAAUAGAGUACCUGGCACACUGGAUUUAUAAUUACAGGAGAAUCUUAGAUGAAGAACAAAAGAGAAGGUUGGAGAGGACUGAGCUGGAACAAGAACAGGAGGCAGCCCUGACAGAACUCAAAAUGUUAGAAAAAAUGAAGGAAGAAGAACUUACAAUCCAGCAGAAACUUGAAGAAGAACGUCAGGAGCAGAUGGAACGAGAACGUGAGGAGUUGGAACUGCAGAGGAUAGAAAAGGAGCAAGCAGACAAAUGGCUGUUGCAGCAGAAAGAUCAAGAGGGACAAGAAAAGACAAUAGCUGAACUUACAGAUAGAUUUGGAGCACCUAAUCUGACCCGAGUGGAGGAGCUAGAUGAGAAUGGACAGUCUGAGAGUAUAACAGAUCUCAUGGCAGACUCAGAAUCUAAGAAAGGUCCCAACUGAUCUGAAAGCAGUAAAUAUAUUUUCUACGCAUUACCUGUCGAUCCUGAAGUGUAAUGACUUAAUUUUAAUUAUUUAUUUUAUAUAGAGAGUUGAUUUAUAUACCUGCUGUUUCAGUUUGCUAUGCUUUCUGGGUGUUUGUAUAAAAUUUCUUAAUUCUGGCACGCAGUGCUUCCUUGUUGUUCUUUAACCAUAAUAGCUAGCACGGCUGACUCAGAGGAAAACUGUAACUGAUAUGGAAGCAGUAAAUGUAUUUUCUACUUAUUACCUAUUGAUUCCUGAAAUGUUGAAAUUAAUAUAAAUAUGUACUUUUAAUAUGUAAUUAAUCUAUGAAGGUUAUCUUGGGGUAGAGGCAACAAUACGAUAAUAUGAGUUAAAAUUAAAGAAUUAAAAAAAAAAAAUACUGAAACAGGAUUUUCCAAGAAUUUGAGUCAUUUCUGAUUUGGAGAGGGAAUGUUUUAGAGUUUUACACAUCUAACUCAACUAAAAAUUUAAUCACAAGAUUUAUGCUAUCUGGAGGAGGUAAACUGAGCUCUCUGCAGCUUAUAGACAGACAUACUAAAAGAUCUUGUCUAACUUAAAAAUCAAGAGAUACGUUUUGUAACAUUAGGGAUUUUCUCUAGGCUUUAUAACCUUUUGUGCUCAUUACAUAAUACAGGUUAGCUGCAAGUACCUUAUAAGAAUUAUCUGCAUACCACUUUUGGUUAGUAAAGUCUGAAAAUAAUCUUCUACAUUUCUUUUGAAUUUUCAAAUCAAUAUAUUAUGUUUGUGUUGCAUUUUUUUAACUAAAUACCAUUUUUGGUUGUCAGAACUUCACUUUUUAAAAUUUUGGAUUAAUAUUUAGGCUGAUUCAUAUUUACUUAUAAAAUCAUUUUUGUAAUACUUAAAGAUGCCAUUAAUUUUUACAAGAACAAAUUUCUGUAAUCACUGAUACCUUGGUACAGAUUGUCAAGAAUAUUUAAUCUCUGUUCAUUAUAAAUGGAAAAGGCCCCAGCAUUAUGAAAUCCUGUGCUUCUUGGCUAAAAAAUUCCUUUCCGUCUUAGUGUCUUCUAAUAAUACAGGUUAGUUGGACAAUUGACAUUAAGUUAUUGCCAGUAUUGUGUAAUGAAAUACUCUUCAUUACAAAUUCAAUACAAAGUUAAUUUAUUUGCCAUUCUUUAGUUUCGGGAUGAAAGGGAUUUUUUGGAUAGUUUCACUUUGCAACUUGAUUUAUAUUAUAGCUGGCUUUUAAAGUUUUUACUGUCUUUGGCAAACUAGUAAAACACCCGACAGGCAAAAGUCAAUCAUGUAAUAAAUAUUUUUCUGCUCUAAAUAAUUAAUUCUAUUCAUGUAGCUUAUGCUAGGCAAAAUCCUAUCCUUUUUUUAAAAGAGUUCACUGUUGAUUUAUAAUAUAAUAAUAUAUUAUUUUCCCCUUAAAAAUGAUAAGGUUGCUGCCCAUCUAUUAAAAAAGCCAGUCCUCUUUAUUGACAUAUCACUCUUACUAUAGACACUGUUAAUUUGCAUGUCUGAUAUGAACCUUUUUAUUAGAACAAAAACCCAGCAUUUCCCAGGUGUAAAUAUUGACAAAUAUUUGUGCAAAUCUUUUUAAGUAAUGAACAAUGGGACUACUUGUGUGACCAGAUGGUCCAGCUUUGGUUUCUACAUUUAUUUUAUAUUGGUAUAGUUAGGCAAUUUCCAUAAGAAUCAAAGAGUCAAGAAACUUUUCUGUGGAAUGAAUGUGUCCUUAUGGUUGAUAUUCCAGUAAACAGGUUUUGUCACAGCUUAUGGUUACAUUUAUUACAUUUAUUAAAGUUAAAAUAGUAAUCCGUUAAGGCUGCACUUUAAGAUACUACAGUUUGAAUUACAUCUGUAAACACUGCAUGCACCACAGCUUCUUAUGCGUAUCUCAAAUGGAUAGAGUAACUGCAUAAAUAGAUGCAGUUUGUCUUUUCAACCAGUAUGUGUACUGCAGUUUGUCUUUUCAACCAGUAUGUGUACUGCAAACUUGUUUUUAGAUUAAGAUUUUCAAAACCAGUCCAAAAACUGGUGAUUAACUCAUGUUCAUUUACAUGUUAUGGUAUCAUAUUGACUAUGAAAAUUUCAGCCUUCAUAUUUUAUUAGGAAAUCUGUUUAAAUUGUAAGACUAUUUUAAAACCUACUAGUAAAUAAUAAGAACUACUAUUUCCAACAUACGGUUUCAUUGUCUAUCGUUUGAUAACAUUCCUAUUAUGGUUUGGGUUUUGUUAUAUGCGUCCACUGGAGUGCAUACUCAAAAACCUGCACCAGUGUCUAUGUCAGUUACAAAUUAUGAAUACUGUAAUUUUUGUUUGUCUGUUCUUUGUUUCAUUUAUUUUAACUUCGAGUUUUCUCUAUGAUCCUACAGUUGCUAUUUCAUAUCCUCUUCUUAGAUAGGAAUUGAAUUUUCUUUUCAGAAAAUUCCUUAGCAGGAGUCAAAAUAGAAUGACAGAUUCUGAUUUACUUAUUCUUUUUUUUUUUUUGUAUUAAUCUGGUUCCAUACAGAAGACAUAAGGUGUUCAGAUGUCUUAAUAGGAAUUCCCAGUUUACAGAAUUUGAUGUGCAUGGAUCUACUGCACUGAUGUCCACCUACAGCUUUCUGCAUAGGAAUUUUUAUGCCAGGUUGACUUCGUAGCAGGACUAUUGAGAGGCCAAAGGUAACAGUUGUGUCUAAUUACAAGCAACAUGAACUGUGGACACAAGAAAGAAGCAGUAGCAGGAACCCAGCUGUCAACCUCAGAAAAAGGAAAGAACCUUCCACCUAGGAAACAAAAAGUGAAUAAUAGGUAUGAAUUUAGGACAUUACGGUUCUCAUAGUAAAAAUCCAUUAGUAGGAACAGUUGAAAAAGUUGAAAAGAAAAAGCCAAGGGAUGAGAAAACAUGAGUGGAAGUAGAAGGAUAUACACCUAACGAGAAGUUCUUGCACUUGUUUAGUGCCAUGAGCUACUCAGAUACGGUAGGGUUCAGGAUGUAAAGAGAAUAGCUGUUAUAAUUCUGUCCUUCUCCUUCCCUGCCUAGAAGAGCUGCAGGCUUCAGAGAGUUUCCCUUUUUAGAACUAAAAUGGGAUAUGCUUCCUUGAGGAAACUUGCCGAGCGUCACUGGUCCCUUUCCUGGAGUAAUGUGAUUUUUGCAGUGAGCAUAACUUACUUGAACACUCUGCGUUGCAGAAAUGGAAAAUUUUCAAUCUUAAUUCAUAAGAACUAAAUUCUGAAGUUUGCAGUCUUCAUUCACAUUGCAAACACUAUCACCAGAUCAUAUUAUUUUUGUUAGUUUUAGUCCAUUUUGCAUGUUUCAUUAGCUAUAAGAAAGGUGUGGCUUUCUUGGUCCUGAUGUUUCUCCUUUUUAAAAGCGUUCCUGUUGCAGAUAGCAGUACAAGCCUAAUUCUGGAUUUCACAGCAUAGUGCAGUCAUUUUUAGUCAUGCUAAAUGAAUGUAAAAUUCUACUAUGUGUCAUCUGCCAGGUUCUACCAGUACAAGUGACUGUAAGAUUGGGUGUUAGCACGUUUUUUUGGUUUUGUUUUGUUUGGUUGUUUUUUUACACACCCUCAUCUAUGCACCUUAACCAUUCCUAGAGGUUCUGCCUUUAUAAUUUUUAAGUUUUCAAGUUUUUUCUUUACUGGCCUUACUGCUCAGUCUGCUAGCAAAGAUAAAAAUAAUAUAGUUGUCAUUAACAGUAAGAAUUGUAUACAAACGCUGGGAGGUGGGGGGCAAAAGUUAAGUCUGUCUAUAUAUCUCUAUAUUAGAGAUAUAACAAUUUAAUGAAUAAGUCCUCCAUUAACAAUUCAAAACAGGAGGCCUGGACAAAUUAUUCAUUGCUUAUCAUUUUGCCUUCCUUUUUGAUAGCCUUAGGGCCGAUUUUGCUCUAAAAUCUGAACAGAAACCAACAAAUUCACUUCAUACAUGUAUCUAAAUUGAGAUGGUAAUUUUACUCGAAGCUGCAACAUUUACAGUGUCUCUCCUUGAAACCUUGCUACUAUGACUUAUACAAGUAGAAACACUAGAAAAUGUUUCCAAUAAUUUAUCCAGAGAAGCAUUUUUAGACCACUGUAUUUGAAAUGCCUUGUAGAACUUUACUGGUGUUACAUGAGAGAUCUGGUAUCUCAGGGAAACAGACUAUCAAACAUCUCACUGAAACAUCCAUAAUGUCCUCUAUUGGAAGAUGAAGGGCUCUAUUUUGCAAUUUAUCCAGCAUGUCAUAGAAUACAUGAAGAAUAAGUCUUUUCCUCUAAGAGGUUGAAGAGAAAGAGAGAAAAUGUAUUCAUAGAAAAUGCUAUUAAAAAUGUCAUUAGGUUCUCCUAGGAUCUAAUUAUAGUAGGUAUUUCUAAAUUCUAAAGUCAGUCUAAAUAGGUCCAGGCUUCUUAACACUAGACUUCCUCUUUAAACUAAAAAGUUGGGGUUGUUCGGACCUACAAUAUCAGCUUAAAAUUGCCUCCCUGCUAUUUUGUUAACAUAAAGUACCCUGUAGGUCACUCGCAUCAGGAUAGAAUGUGAUUAGCAAAUCCAGGUUUUCAAGCACUGUUCACAGGACCCCUUGUGAAACAAGCCAUAUGUGUGUACAGCAUUCCAAAACUGAUUGUGCAAGUAGAUGUGUUUGCCUGUAUCAAGCAGUUGAAUAUAUAAGCAUGUAAAUAUUUUCAUUGGGAGAAUACAUGGGGUACUUCUGUAAAUAUUGGUUAUUCUUUCACAUACACCAUGCAUAUAGGCUUGUAUGAAGGUUUUUGAUCACUGAAUGAUUAAGACAAGAAAUUAUAGUCCUAUAUCACAUGAAAGAAAAGUCUUCUGGCAUUCCAUAUCUUGGAAAAGUCCAAAGUGUCUGAAUUUAACCUAAUGUUCCUUGUCAGGAAGCCAGAACUUACGGAUUCCACAACUGUUCCUGCAGACAGGUUCCUGAAACCUGACUUCAUGUACUAGAGUCAAUAUUUGUUUCAAAGUCUAAAGACCACCUGUACUGUAAACAUCUAUGAACCACUGCAGCAAGAACUCUCUUAGGUAAAGACUUUUUCCUAAGGCACUGAGGAUGUCCUAAUGUUUUACAUACGUACACUAAUAAUGUCAUAAGCUGUAUGAAUGCAGAGGAUCCCAAGCUACUAGGAAACUUCCAAGGUUCCCUAGCCAAAUUGAUACUGAUUUAUAGAUCUAUGGCUGUACCGAAGUUUAGUUUGGUCAUAGUGGCAUAGUUUGCACAGGUGAUCAGACCUGUCAUUAACAGUAACGAGUCCUAACUAUUCCCUCAGAGAGGAACUGGCUGUGCAAAUAUCUUAGGUGUGAUUGCACCCCUUGUAAUUGAAACUAAGGGCUGUGCUUUAAGCUGCAUGUCAGAUGGCAGUCUGUCCUUAGCCAGGCAACUGACCAUGGAAACUGGAAAAGACAUACAGAAAGCUAUCCACACCUUUUCUCUGGAAGGUUAGCGAAAGAUAUUUCUAACUGAAGACUUUUCCAUUCCUGUCCAAGGCAUAACUUAAACAAUGAAUGGGUUAAUUUUUGAAAAUAAGUAUCAUUAGCUAAAUGCUAAAGCUCUGUAAGUUAUACACUGUUAUGUUUACUUAAGAAAAGCCUUUUGUGGUUUGAGGCAAAGAUGGAAUAGCGCUCUACUCUCUCUCAUCCACCUCCUUAUCAUUUAUGGAGAACCCACAGAGUUUGUGAUUCUAUUGUUACAGGGCACCAUACAGGCAAAUACUUGUACCUUGCUCUGUAAAGCUUGCAACUUAAACAGGAAAACCUGACAAAGACUAAAGGCAUAGCUAAUUUUAUACCAGGAUGGUUUAAUGUUGUUUAUAGGAAGCAACAAAAAUUAACAAAUAUUUCCUUAUGAGUGAAACUGUGCUUAACUAACACCACUAUUUUUCCAUUCUUUCUCGUACACCAAUUCUAAUUAAUGAAGACUGAUUUAGAAAACAGACUCUCUUUUAUUUAUCAUUUUCAUGCAUGAAACUGAGGUAUCCAUCUAUAACGUGUUGACAAUGUCUGUCUUUGUGAACAGGUAUUUAAUACAUAGACCUUGUGGAAUGAUCACAGGGUUGGGUUAAAUAUAAGCAGCUAGGUGUCUUAUCAAGUGCAUAAACAAAAAAUAAAGUAGUAUUCAAUUCCAUGUUGUGUUCCAGUUCAAAGGAGAAAAUGCUCCCUGUGAAAUUAGUAUCAAGACUACUGUUGACUUUAAUGAAAGCAGGAUUUGGUCCUGAAAAUAUUUUCUUGUACUAUAAUUAUUUUCACAGAA